UACGUAGGGUGCAGGCGUUAAUCGGAAUUACUGGGCGUAAAGCGUGCGCAGGCGGUUUGCUAAGACAGGUGUGAAAUCCCCGGGCUUAACCUGGGAACUGCGCUUGUAACUGGCAAGCUAGAGUGUGGCAGAGGGGGGUGGAAUUCCACGUGUAGCAGUGAAAUGCGUAGAUAUGCGGAGGAACACCGAUGGCGAAGGCAAUCCCCUGGACCUGUACUGACGCUCAGGCACGAAAGCAUGGGGAGCAAAAGGG
rnacentral:rRNA from 1 species